CUACAGAAUUCAGAGCGCAGAAACCAACAAGCCAGGGUGCUCACAUUCCCGAAGACUGGAGGAGUUGAGAGUUGAGACAACCGCAAACAGCUCUUGCCUUGCAAGCUUGUAAUCCAUUUUCAUUGGACACACAACUAAAGCAGUAGCCACUUCUCUCCCAUUGUUUCCUGUAAAAAGAGUGAUGGAAGUCAACUACCAGUCAACCGAUCGCAACAAUGCCAGUGAUAAUAAGCAAGGGUGGAGUUCGUCUAAGGUAGCCAAUGCUGCUUUUGCUACUCUAAUUGGAGUACUUACUUCCCUACUCCAAUUAAAAUUCAGCGCUAAUAAUGACAGAAAUAAUAGUAGCUCAUUUGAAAAACACAACAUAGCAAUGCCAUCUUUCAUUUUAUUUUUUGUCCUCUAUACCUUCGUGUUAAUAGCAAAGAAUUUAAUAUCCCAAAUUCAGAACAUAAAAAAUUAUGACUUACUAAAAAUAUUUAUGAAUAUCGCCACUCUCGUCUUAGGAGCUAUUGCUUUAGUAUUUCUAUUAUUUAUGUUGGUUCCCAUCCUUGCAUGGAUCAUCUUAGUAUUCUAUUUACUUUUUCUUCUUCUUUUCCGACUAGUUUUCUUCCAACCAAUUUACGGUGAUCAAGAACCCCCAACUUUGUUUAAGAAAUUAAAUGAUUUAUAUAAACUAUUUCACGAAUGGGUUGGUAGUGUAGUUUCUUGGAUACUGGACGGAUCUCCAAAAAAUUAAUGGCUCCUCCCUCCAUUAUGGACACACAAUUAUAUACAUAUAUGGUUUGAGAGUUGGUGUACCUUGCAAUAAAGAUCAAGUAUCAACAACUUGCAACCAAUGGUUUCUUCAAUUAUUGAGGCUUGCUGAUCAUUUUUGUCAAGGAAAUGGAUGCUUAUACUGCAACGCACUUCGAGUUAUAGAGAAUGAAAUAGGUUGCCAAGAAUUAGUAGUCCGACUAUGUUCUUGUCCACAAAAUAAGAAUGUAUCUUUGUCCCAUUAAAUGGGGUUUUUAUUGGUUAUGUUUCAAAUAUUAGCAAUUUUUUGUUUCUUUAUUUGUGGUUAAUGACUUCAAUUUCUUCUUGGUGUUAUUUUUAACUAUUUUAUUUUGUUUAAUUUCCUCCAAUGACUAGAUAUUAAUAGUGAUAUUUGAACAGUCAAAUACCA